rnacentral:tRNA from 1 species
GGGCAAUUAGCUCAGUUGGUUAGAGCGCACGGUUCACAUCCGUGAGGUCAGGGGUUCGAGCCCCUUAUUGCCCA